CAAGUGGCUAUCGUUAGAGCACUCCUGCAUUUAAAUGUGAAAAAAUCUUUUGUGUCUCAUACCAUCGCUCGUUACCGUGAUACUGGUUGCGUAGCCCGACGUCAAGGAAAUGGACGGAAGAAAACAGCAACGUCAGCAGAAAUGGUUCGAAAAUUGUCGAAAAAAUGGCUCGUGAGCUGAAAAUAUCGCAAUAUUCCAUUCGGCAAAUAAGCUCAGGGAAAAGCCAUUGAAAUUCCAAAAUUCCAAAAACUUACACCGCAACAGAAAGAAAAUAGACUCAAAAGAGCUAAAGAGUUGCUUCGCUUGGACGAAAGUGGUGAACUGCCGAAUUUGGUUUUCUCCGAUGAGAAAACAA